rnacentral:rRNA from 1 species
AGAGUUUGAUCCUGGCUCAGAAUGAACGCUCGUAGACACAUCUUAUACAUGCAAGUCGAACGGGAAAUAAUUUUUUUCUAGUGGCGAACGGGUGAGUAAUACAUAAGAAUUUAACUUUAGGAUGAGGAUAAUAUUUGAAAAAAUAACUAAAACUCAAUUAUUAUAACGUUCUUAAAAAAAGAAAUAGUUCGCUAUAAAAAGAAAGUAAUUUGCCUAGAGAAAAGCUUAUGUUUGAUUAGCUAGUUGGUAAGGUAAAGGCUUACCAAGGCGAUGAUCAGUAGUUGGUCUGGGAGGACGAUCAGCCACAUUGGAACUGAAACACGGUCCAAACCGCUACGGGGGGCUGCAGUAUGGAAUUUUUUGCAAUGGGCGAAAGCUUGACGGAGUGGGGUCACAUGAAGGAUGAAACUCGUGUUGAGGGCGUAAACUUUUUUGGGCUUUUGGGAAAGAUCUGUUGCCAUUAGUUCGAGCAUCGGCUAACUCUGUGCCAGCAGCCGCGGCUAGACAGGGGAUGCAAGCGUUAUUCGGAUUUACUGGGCGUAAAGCGUCUGUGGAUUGUUAAGUAAAUCAUUUAUUAUAAAUUUAAGCUUGACUUAAAAUAUAUGUAUAUGACACUACUUUUCUUGAGCUCUAUUGAGGUAAAGGGAACGUCCAGUGUAGCGGUGGAAUGCAGUCAUAUUGGAAGGACCACCAACGGCGAAGGCACUUUACUGGGUUACAGCUGACAUUAAGAGACUAGAGCUAAGGAAGUGAAUAGGAUUAGAUACCCUAGUAAUCUUAGCCGUAAACGAUGAACACUAAAUGUUAAGAUUUACUCUUCUCUUCAUUAUAGCUAACGCGUCAAGUGUUCCGCCUGAAGAGUACACCCUUUUGGACUAAACUCA